UUUGUUGACUUGGUCCACUGA
rnacentral:piRNA from 1 species